rnacentral:rRNA from 1 species
AACGAACGCUGGCGGCAGGCUUAACACAUGCAAGUCGAGCGCCCCGCCAGGGGAGCGGCGGACGGGUGGGUAACGCGUGGGGACGUACCCUUAUCUUCAGGAUAGCCCCGGGAAACUGGAAUUAAUACCGAAUGUGCCCUUUGGGGGAAAGAUAUAUCGGAUAAGGAUCGGCCCGCGUUGGAUUAGCUAGUUGGUGGGGUAAAGGCCUACCAAGGCGACGAUCCAUAGCUGGUCUGAGAGGAUGAUCAGCCACAUUGGGACUGAGACACGGACCAAACUCCUACGCGAGGGAGCAGUGGGGAAUAUUGGACAAUGGGCGCAAGCCUGAUCCAGCCAUGCCGCGUGAGUGAUGAAGGCCUUAGGGUUGUAAAGCUCUUUCACCGGAGAAGAUAAUGACGGUAUCCGGAGAAGAAGCCCCGGCUAACUUCGUG